CCUAGGAUCACAUCACCGAGAAUGCGCCUGGACUCGUUAGAUCUCUGAAGCUAAGCAGCGUUGAGCCUGGGUUGUUGCUUGGA
rnacentral:rRNA from 1 species